CCAAAAUAUGUUUGAAUGAAAAGCUGUGGCUUUCUCUUUCCUUGUAUUACCUCUAGGAAUCUCCCCAGAAGGUUAGUUUUCUGGCCAGACCCCAAGGAGACCUAACCCUAACCCUAGCUCCAACCCUAACCCUAGUUUAAUGUUCUGAAUGGGAUUUUCCCAUGUAAUUUACUGUGUACCCAAAAUAUGUCCGAAUGAAAAGCUGUCGCUUUCUCUUUCCUUGUAAUACCUCUAGGAAUCUCCCCAGAAGGUUAGUUUUCUGGCCAGACCCCAAGGAGACCUAAACCUAACCCUAGCCCCAACCCUAACCCUAGUUUAACUUUGUGAAUGGAAUUUUCCCAU